rnacentral:rRNA from 1 species
GAUGAACGCUAGCUACAGGCUUAACACAUGCAAGUCGAGGGGCAGCAUGGUCUUAGCUUGCUAAGGCCGAUGGCGACCGGCGCACGGGUGAGUAACACGUAUCCAACCUGACGUCUACUCUUGGACAGCCUUCUGAAAGGAAGAUUAAUACAAGAUGGCAUCAUGAGUUCACAUGUUCACAUGAUUAAAGGUAUUCUGGUAGACGAUGGGGAUGCGUUUCAUUAGAUAGUAGGCGGGGUAACGGCCCACCUAGUCUUCGAUGGAUAGGGGUUCUGAGAGGAAGCACACCCACAUUGGAACGGGGACACGGUCCAAACUCCUACGGGAGGCAGCAGUGAGGAAUAUUGGUCAAUGGGCGAGAGCCUGAGCCAGCCAAGUAGCGUGAAGGAUGACUGCCGUAGGAGUUGUGAACUUCUUUUAUAAAGGAAUAAGGUCGGGUAUGUAUACCCAUGUGCAUUUACUUUAUGAAUAAGGAUCGGCUAACUCCGUG